rnacentral:rRNA from 1 species
AUUGAACGCUGGCGGCAGGCCUAACACAUGCAAGUCGAGCGGAUGAGGAAAGCUUGCUUUUCGAUUCAGCGGCGGACGGGUGAGUAAUGCCUAGGAAUCUGCCUGUUAGUGGGGGAUAACUCGGGGAAACUCGGGCUAAUACCGCAUACGUCCUACGGGAGAAAGUGGGGGAUCUUCGGACCUCACGCUAACAGAUAAGCCUCGGGCGGAUUAGCUAGUAGGUGAGGUAAUGGCUCACCUAGGCGACGAUCCGUAACUGGUCUGAGAGGAUGAUCAGUCACACUGGAACUGAGACACGGUCCAGACUCCUACGGGAGGCAGCAGUGGGGAAUAUUGGACAAUGGGCGAAAGCCUGAUCCAGCCAUGCCGCGUGUGUGAAGAAGGUCUUCGGAUUGUAAAGCACUUUAAGUUGGGAGGAAGGGUAUUCACCUAAUACGUGGGUACUUUGACGUUACCAACAGAAUAAGCACCGGCUAACUCUGUGCCAGCCGCCGCCGUAACAC